CUACGGGUUGCUCCAGUGGGGAAUAUUGCACAAUGGGCGCAAGCCUGAUGCAGCCAUGCCGCGUGUAUGAAGAAGGCCUUCGGGUUGUAAAGUACUUUCAGCGGGGAGGAAGGGAGUAAAGUUAAUACCUUUGCUCAUUGACGUUACCCGCAGAAGAAGCACCGGCUAACUCCGUGCCAGCAGCCGCGGUGAAUACGGAGGGUGCAAGCGUUAAUCGGAAUUACUGGGCGUAAAGCGCACGCAGGCGGUUUGUUAAGUCAGAUGUGAAAUCCCCGGGCUCAACCUGGGAACUGCAUCUGAUACUGGCGAGCUUGAGUCUCGUAGAGGGGGGUAGAAUUCCAGGUGUAGCGGUGAAAUGCGUAGAGAUCUGGAGGAAUACCGGUGGCGAAGGCGGCCCCCUGGACGAAGACUGACGCUCAGGUGCGAAAGCGUGGGGAGCAAACAGGAUUAGAUACCCUGGUAGUC
rnacentral:rRNA from 1 species